AGGGUGAAACGGUGCGGUAAGAGCGCACCAGCGCUCCGGGCGACCGGAGCGGCUUGGUAAACCCCACCUGGAGCAAGGCAACGUAGGAGGGGGGCUGCCCGCCCAAAACCUUCCGGGUAUGCCGCUAGAGCGCGUCGGCAACGACUCGCCCAGAUGGAUGGUCGCCACCGCGGCAAUGCCGCGGGACAGAAUCCGGCGUAUCGGUCAGCUCACCAC
rnacentral:RNase_P_RNA from 1 species